rnacentral:rRNA from 1 species
ACUAUUAGUUAUGUUCUAUAAACUCAAAGAAUUUGGCGGUAUUUUAUUCUAUUCAGAGGAACCUAUCCCAUUAUUGAUAAUGCACGAUUGACUUUACUUAAUUUAUUUGUUUGUAUAUCUCCGUUAUCAGAAAAAUUUUUUAGAAUUAUAAUUUUCCUAGUUUUAAAUUAAAAAUUAUUUCAGGUCAAGGUGCAGCUUAUAAUUAAGAGGAGAUGGGUUACAAUAGAUUUUUGUUUAUAAUGAAUUUAAAGUUAAAAUAUUUUUAAUGAAGGUGGAUUUGAUAGUAAUUUAAUUUAGUUAAUUUAAUUGAUAUUAGCUCUAAUAUAUGU